rnacentral:ribozyme from 1 species
AAUCUGUCUGAUAGAGUGGAUGAGAGAGAGUGUGAAUCAACAUGAAUGGAUGAGCGAAUUCAUUCCUAGAUCCUACUCAACACGUCCGCGUCGUGCAGAAUGGUAGCAUUUCAUUACUAUGAAACGACUGAGUUGAGAGGG